rnacentral:lncRNA from 1 species
CAGUACGUGGCGUUGUAACCCAGGUUUCUUCUACGGCACAACAAUUGCCGGAUUGAAGAGGUCUGGUUUUCCAGCCUUUAUACCACGAAAGUAACUAAAUUUACCAAACAAAUUUCUGAUGUGGAAGAUCAGCCUGAGCCGCAACCACAGAGCAUACUUAAAUAACAAAUUUUAAAAAUUUUAAAGGCUUGGGCUCCUGCAACCUUAACCUGGAAUCCUCAGAGUUAAGUCAGAUUGUGGGGGGAGAAAAGAAAGGUGCCGUUAACACGGGCUUAUACAAGUAGCAGAAAUAAUUAAUACAGAAAUAAAACUUACUAUAUUUAAAUAACACUUCAAACUUUACAAAACUUCUGAGAAUGUUUUUAGAGGAAGUUUACAGAGAAGAAGUGAAGAGAGAAUAUAGAGAGAAUGGGGUUACAAGUGUGUGCCUUCACAAGGGGAG